GUGCCAGCCGCCGCGGUAAUACGAAGGGGGCUAGCGUUGCUCGGAAUCACUGGGCGUAAAGGGCGCGUAGGCGGCCGAUCAAGUCAGGGGUGAAAGCCUGUGGCUCAACCACAGAAUUGCCUUUGAUACUGUUUGGCUCGAGACCGGAAGAGGUUGGUGGAACUGCGAGUGUAGAGGUGAAAUUCGUAGAUAUUCGCAAGAACACCAGUGGCGAAGGCGGCCAACUGGUCCGGUUCUGACGCUGAGGCGCGAAAGCGUGGGGAGCAAACAGGAUUAGAAACCCGCGUAGUCC
rnacentral:rRNA from 1 species